CCCAUUUCUGUUUCAUCUGCCCUGCUUUUCUCUACAGCUACUUUCCUUAACAAGUAUGAGGUGAAGGUCAGAGAAGUAAAAAUAUCCUGAUUUCAUUCAAACAGGGUAUUUUGUUGCUUUGUAAUAGAUGAAACAUGAGAGAGAGAAAAAGGGUAACAUCCCCAACUACAGUAUUUCUCACUUGUUCCAGUGUCAGAAUUCCAUCCAGAUCAGCGCUCUACAGGCCCAGCUCCACACGUAGGAACGUCAAGGUUCCUCCAAGAAACCCACUAGACCUGGGUACCAUAUGGGUACCAUCAAAUUCUCUCUGCUCUAAAUGAGAGUCGACUCAGUGAAUUCCAGAUGCCUGAGGAGACCGAUUCUCCUGAAGGAGACAAUGGGCUUCCCUAACUUCAGGAUAUUCCA